UGGGGAAUAUUGCACAAUGGGGGAAACCCUGAUGCAGCCAUGCCGCGUGUGUGAAGAAGGCCUUCGGGUUGUAAAGCACUUUCAGUAGGGAAGAAAGGGUAAGGUUUAAUACGCCUUAUCUGUGACGUUACCUACAGAAGAAGGACCGGCUAACUCCGUGCCAGCAGCCGCGGUAAUACGGAGGGUCCGAGCGUUAAUCGGAAUUACUGGGCGUAAAGCGUGCGCAGGCGGUUUGUUAAGCGAGAUGUGAAAGCCCUGGGCUCAACCUAGGAAUAGCAUUUCGAACUGGCGAACUAGAGUCUUGUAGAGGGGGGUAGAAUUCCAGGUGUAGCGGUGAAAUGCGUAGAGAUCUGGAGGAAUACCGGUGGCGAAGGCGGCCCCCUGGGAUAAUACUGACGCUCAUGCACGAAAGCGUGGGGAGCAAAC
rnacentral:rRNA from 1 species